CACAGGUUUGGUCCCAGCCUUCCUAUUGACCCUUAAUAAACUUACACAUGCAAGCAUCCACACCCCAGUGAAAAUGCCCUCCAAGUUAAUAAGACUAAGAGGAGCUGGUAUCAAGCACACAUCCGUAGCUCACGACACCUUGCAUAGCCACACCCCCACGGGAGACAGCAGUGAUAAAAAUUAAGCCAUAAACGAAAGUUUGACUAAGCCAUAUUAAUCAGGGUUGGUAAAUUUCGUGCCAGCCGCCGCGGUCAUACGAUUAACCCGAGUUAAUAGGCACACGGCGUAAAGCGUGUUAAAGCACUAUACUAAAUAAAGUUAAAUUCCAAUUAAGCUGUAAAAAGCCAUAAUUGCAACAAAAAUAAACAACGAAAGUAACUUUACAGCCGCUGAAACACGAUAGCUAGGACCCAAACUGGGAUUAGAUACCCCACUAUGCCUAGCCUUAAACACAAAUAGUUAUGUAAACAAAACUAUUCGCCAGAGUACUACCGGCAAUAGCUUAAAACUCAAAGGACUUGGCGGUGCUUUAUACCCUUCUAGAGGAGCCUGUUCUAUAAUCGAUAAACCCCGAUAAACCUCACCAUUCCUUGCUACUACAGUCUAUAUACCGCCAUCUUCAGCAAACCCUAAAAAGGUACAAAAGUAAGCACAAUCAUAAUACAUAAAAACGUUAGGUCAAGGUGUAACCUAUGGAACGGAAAGAAAUGGGCUACAUUUUCUAAUCUAAGAAAAUCCAACACGAAAGUUAUUAUGAAACUAAUAACCAAAGGAGGAUUUAGCAGUAAACUAAGAAUAGAGUGCUUAGUUGAAUUAGGCCAUGAAGCACGCACACACCGCCCGUCACCCUCCUCAAGUAGGCACAAUACACUCAAACUUAUUUACACGUAUUAAUCAUAUGAGAGGAGACAAGUCGUAACAAGGUAAGCAUACUGGAAAGUGUGCUUGGAUAAAU
rnacentral:ncRNA from 1 species